GUACCUACGGGGCGCAGCAGUAGGGAAUCUUCCACAAUGGGGGGAACCCUGAUGCAGCGACGCCGCGUGGGUGAAGAAGCGCCUCGGCGCGUAAAGCCCUGUCAGCAGGGAAGGAAAUGACGGUACCUGAAGAAGAAGCCCCGGCUAACUACGUGCCAGCAGCCGCGGUAAUACGUAGGGGGCGAGCGUUAUCCGGAUUUACUGGGUGUAAAGGGGGCGCAGACGGCGAUGCAAGCCAGGAGUGAAAGCCCGGGGCCCAACCCCGGGACUGCUCUUGGAACUGCGUGGCUGGAGUGCAGGCGGGG
rnacentral:rRNA from 1 species